rnacentral:rRNA from 1 species
UACGAAGGGUGCGAGCGUUGUUCGGAAUUAUUGGGCGUAAAGGGUUCGUAGGCGGGAUUAUAAGUCAAGUGUGAAAUCCCCGAGCUUAACUCGGGACGUGCACUUGAAACUGUGAUUCUUGAGUCAUUGAGAGGGUGGUGGAAUUGUUGGUGUAGGAGUGACAUCCGUAGAGAUCAACAGGAACAUCAGAGGCGAAAGCGACCACCUGGCAAUGUACUGACGCUGAGGAACGAAAGCGUGGGGAGCAAACAGG